UACAAAAUUAAAAGAUAAGAGACCUAAAUAGCAAGUAUAAAUAUAGCGUAAAUGUGAAUAUUCACAAUAAUAUGGCCGCCAUAUAUUUGAUAUGAUUCCAACUGUAGCAGAUAACCUUUCAUCUUAAAUACAUACAACUUGAAAUAAAACGAACACAAAAGAAAAAGGACUACAUAUGCUACCAAGGGCAUGAAUAUUUGACCCAUACAAGUGGAAAAAGGGAUGUCUACCUUGUCGCAAAAGAUGUGGUGGUAGAGCCAAAUUAAUUAUUGGCCUCGAUUCAACAUUCUUUUGACUGCCAAAACUUAGUUGCACAAACUUCUAUGAUCAGGCCCCUCAAACAUUUAGUUCUGAUGCCAUACCCCAUCAGAAUAUUAUUUCAAACCAAGCCACUUCUAAUUUGUCAUUAGCCUCUCAAACUGCUAAUUCAAAUGAAGCCCAUCAAACUUUUAGUUCUGAUGCCAUACCCCAUCAGAAUAUUAUUUCAAAUCAAGCCUCUCAAACUGCUACUGCAAAUGAAGCCCCUCAAAAUUCUUCUGGUUUUGCCUUAGCCUAUCAAAAUUUUAUUUCAAAUCAAUUCAGGUGCUAAUCAAGUUAUUAAUUCAGAUGUUGGAAUUGAAAGUAAUAGUGAUCUCUCAUUAGAAGUACUCAUGUGAUAAUAUAUUUACAUCAGAAUAUUAGUGGUAAAAAUAUGAUUAUAAAAGGUUCAUCUCUCUGGAAAAAUCUGAGAGAUUGUUUUAUAAAAGAGAGGCAAAAGCUAAAAAGACUGAAAAGUGGGUCAAAGGCCACAUCUCAUGGCCAUUCUAUCAGGAUAUGCUAAGAGGAAUGUACUACUAAAGAUGCAAAUGAUAUAUUUAAUGAAAUAACAGGGGGUAUACAUGAAUGUGAUCUAAUUGAUAGUGAGAAUAUAUCAGAUGAUAUAUUUAUUCCCAAAGAUCCUGCAGCAUUAAAUCUUAGUAAUGAUUCUGAAUCUAUGUCCUGUGUUGGGCCACAUAGUUUUUAUUAUAAAUGUUCUAAGAGAAAGAAGAAUGAUAUGGAUGACUAUAGGAAAUUAAUAUAAAUAGAAGCAGAUAAAGCAUUAAUAACCGAAAUGCUUAAAAAUAAAUCAACAGAACAUGCAAUAUGUUUAAUGUUAGAAGAAAAAUUAGAUGAUUUUACCAAAGAGG